rnacentral:rRNA from 1 species
GACGAACGCUUGCGACGUGCCUAAGAAAUGCAAGUCGAGCGAGGUAGCAAUACCUAGCGGCGAACGGUCGCGUAACACGUAAGCAACCUGCCCCAAAGACCGGGACAACGUUUCGAAAGGAGCGCUAAUACCGGAUGUGGUCAUCGGCUGACAUCGGCUGAUGAGUAAAUCGAGCAAUCGGCUUUGGGAGGGGCUUGCGGCCUAUCAGCUAGAUGGUGGGGUAACGGCCACCAUGGCGACGACGGGUAGCUGGUCUGAGAGGAUGGUCAGCCGGAUUGGGACUGAGAUACGGCCCAGACUCCGUACGGGGGGCAGCAAUUAGGAAUCUUGCGCAAUGGGCGAAAGCCUGACGCAGCGACGUCGCGGU